UUGAACGCUGGCGGCAGGCCUAACACAUGCAAGUCGAGCGGAUGAAGGGAGCUUGCUCCUGGAUUCAGCGGCGGACGGGUGAGUAAUGCCUAGGAAUCUGCCUGGUAGUGGGGGAUAACGUCCGGAAACGGGCGCUAAUACCGCAUACGUCCUGAGGGAGAAAGUGGGGGAUCUUCGGACCUCACGCUAUCAGAUGAGCCUAGGUCGGAUUAGCUAGUUGGUGGGGUAAAGGCCUACCAAGGCGACGAUCCGUAACUGGUCUGAGAGGAUGAUCAGUCACACUGGAACUGAGACACGGUCCAGACUCCUACGGGAGGCAGCAGUGGGGAAUAUUGGACAAUGGGCGAAAGCCUGAUCCAGCCAUGCCGCGUGUGUGAAGAAGAUCUUCGGAUUGUAAAGCACUUUAAGUUGGGAGGAAGGGCAGUAAGUUAAUACCUUGCUGUUUUGACGUUACCAACAGAAUAAGCACCGGCUAACUUCGUG
rnacentral:rRNA from 1 species